UUUAAGAAGCUUCAUUGUCGACAUUGUGAGACGAUUUUUCAUCACACCAGUAUACUCGAUGGACGUAUUAUUCCAUUGUUGCAGCAGACAGGCUUCUAUGGUAUUACAUGCAAGUUUUUUUACACCCAAUCUACCCUUUAGUAUUGUCCAGGUCAACUUCCACUUCAUUAAAGAGAAAAGAAAAAAAAAAACAUAAUUUUGGAGCUCGACGUGUAUUAAGCACGUACAUCGAAGAAAAAGGUAUUGGAAUUAAUGUUGAAGCAUUAAUCGCCUUCUUCUUUCUCUCAUUUUGGGGAAACCCUAACCCUAACCUAAAGAAACGGGAAAAGUAACCUCAACUUUAUCUCUGUUUGAAAACCAAAUUUUAAGCUUCCUUGUUUUCCUCUUAGUUUAGGAAAUGGAAAAACCCUAACCUACCUUUACUUCCUCUCAUUCUAAAAAAAUUGAACAACCCAAAACUCUUUCUCUCAUUUUGAAACAUCUCCACCACGUUUUCCUCCAAUUUCGAAAACCCAAAAAGCUUGAAUAAUAUUGUAAAAGGCUCAUAGGGUUGGAAUGUAGAAGAGACAGAAAGCGUGGUAAAUGAUUAGUUGGACUACUAAUCUUAAACUCUCUUCAUAUUCGAUCGACAAGGAUCUCUCAUAAGUAGAGGCAAAACCUCAUUAUUUUGAUGGUUCUCAUAACGUGUUAUUGGUUGGAAGAAGUCAUGCAUCCAUUUUAUGCCUUAUACCAUCAUCAAGAAAGGUGCAUUUUUUAUCACUUGAAUGGAGGGGAAAUGUUGCACCAGGAAUACAAUAGGUUCUUGAAGAAGGUUCAUCUUCAAUCUGGAUAGCUUGGACCAGUGCAAUACGUUUUGUGUAAAAGUGAGACUUGAAUGUGUACCAUUAUGAAUAUCAAACCCCAUUGAAAAUGAUGUGUAAUGUUGUAUGAUGUAGACAACACAAGAAAUAUGUCAGACGUAACAUGUUAAUUAGUGGUAAUAAUUUUUCCUUAUUUGGUAA